AUGCAUAGCUUACUAGCACAUCAUAGUAGUUGGGAUCCUUUGUUCUUUACCAUUCACUUCAUAGAUGGAUUGCAUUCUGAAAUUAAAGUUGCUGUUAUGCUCCAUCGCCCCAAGGAUUUGGAUACUGCGGUUGCUUUGGCUGAAUUGCAGGAAGAAGCAGUGGAGAUGGUGAGACGGGAGCAGGAGUCUCAGGUGACUGCUCGUGGGUUGACAUCGACGGCCCGCGCAGGGCGCUUCUCGGCGCGGCCCCCGCUGCCCGUCACGGUGGCGUCCUCCUCCAAUGGGCAAAAGGGGCGCCCACUUCACCAGGCACGCCUCCGCCUGAUGGUUGGCGUAGUCCUGAUAGUGCUCGCAUCGCUAUUGGUGCAUCAUCGGUGGAUGACAAGCUCAAGACCCUGCGCGCGUAUCGGAGAGCGCGUGGUCUAUGCUUUACUUGCGGUGAGCAAUGGGGGCAAGGGCACACCUGUGCUGCCAUAG
rnacentral:rRNA from 1 species